rnacentral:rRNA from 1 species
UACGUAGGGUGCAAGCGUUAAUCGGAAUUACUGGGCGUAAAGCGUGCGCAGGCGGUUAUGCAAGACAGGUGUGAAAUCCCCGAGCUCAACUUGGGAACUGCAUUUGUGACUGCAUAGCUAGAGUACGGCAGAGGGGGAUGGAAUUCCGCGUGUAGCAGUGAAAUGCGUAGAUAUGCGGAGGAACACCAAUGGCGAAGGCAAUCCCCUGGGCCUGUACUGACGCUCAUGCACGAAAGCGUGGGGAGCAAACAGG